UAAUUCUAAUGCAUUUAUUUCUAGGAUUAAUUUGGCCAAAAGAUCUUAGUAUACUUAUACAAAGUAUUUCUUUUAUCGCAUUUUUUAUUUUAAUUAUUAUAGAAGUCAUUUGAUGUGUCCACACAAUGUUUUGUGCAUUUGCUUAUUUGUUAUUAUGUUCUUUACUGUGCUUUCAGAAGGAAUGUUGUUAAGCUUUCACAAGAGUCCAUUCAUGUUGUCAUGCUCGGAUUUUCCUGUGAGGUUCCAUGGUUAGGGGGUUAAUUUAGUAUUAUUAGAAGAGAAGAACAAUCAAUUGUGAUUUCGUUCUCCACUUCACUCCUCCAAGUCUCUAAUGGUCAUUGAUGCCUUGUCUCCACUAAAUCCUAAGAAGGUUCAGAUCCACAACAGAAAAUGCCUCCUGAAAUCAAGCGCUACUAAGAAGUUUAUAAAGCAUCUUGAAAGGGAAAACCAUAUACAAUUAAGGAGGUGAAGGCUUCAUAUAUUGGUCAGAUUCUAAGGAUAUCUGGUAUAGUGACACGCUACUCAGAUGUUAAACCUUCAAUGAAGGUUGCUGUAUACACAUGUGAAGAUUGUGAUUUUGAAAUUUACUAAGUAAUUUGGGAAAUCGCUGCACAAACUGCUCUAUUCCCAAUUUUUUUGUCAUUAUGAUUUUAUUUGCUAGAAUCUACUAAAUCUUGACAUGGUUUUUUCCUUCCCAUCCACAAACAGGAAGUAACAGCUCGAGUCUUCAUGUCUUUGUUUAAGUGUCCAUCCACUCGCUGUAAAAUAAAUAAUAAGGGAAACCUUAUUAUCCUUCAACUUAGAGCUUCAAAGUUUUUAAAAUUUCAAGAGGUCUGUACUCUAUUUUGUCUUAAUAAAAAUGUGAGGACUUCGUAUUUUUCUGUAUAAUUACUUGUUUACUUUAACUAACUAUCUGGAGAUAUGGUUCAACUGGAGGCAAAAAAUUCAAGAAUUAGCUGAAUAUGUUCCAAAGGGCCAUAUUCCAUGAACAAUGAAUAUUCAUUUCAGCGGAGAGCUCACAAGAAAGCAGGACGACAUGAUGUGAAGAAAAUAUUUUCCAUAGAAAUAUGAAAUGGGAUGGGUUUCAUAUAGACUUUAGUUAUUUAAAUAUAAUAUUUUGAUGUGUUUUGUAUUUUUUUCAAGAAACUUUAUCCGGUAUUACAUGUAAUGGAUAAAUUAUACUUUAUUUUGAUUUGUG